AUUGAACGCUGGCGGCAGGCCUAACACAUGCAAGUCGAACGAGUGGCGGACGGGUGAGUAAUGUCUGGGAAACUGCCUGAUGGAUGGGGUUAACUACUGGAAACGGUAGCUACUACCGCAUACCAUCGGAUGUUCCCAGUUGGGAUUAGCUAGUAGGUGGGGUAAAGGCUCACCUAGGCGACGAUCCCUAGUUGGUCUGAGAGGAUGACCAGCCACACGGGAACUGAGACACGGUCCAGACUCCUACGGGAGGCAGCAGUGGGGAAUAUUGCACAAUGGGCGCAAGCCUGAUGCAGCCAUGCCGCGUGUAUGAAGAAGGCCUUCGGGUUGUAAAGUACUUUCAGCGGGGAGGCGUUACCCGAAGAAGAAGCACCGGCUAACUCCGUGCCAGCAGCCGCGGUAAUUC
rnacentral:rRNA from 1 species